UACGUAGGUGGCGAGCGUUGUCCGGAUUUACCGGGCGUAAAGAGCGCGCAGGCGGUCGUACAAGUCGCGUGUGAAAGCCCCCGGCUCAACUGGGGAGGGUCACGCGAUACUGUUCGACUCGAAGGCAGGAGAGGGAAGCGGAAUUCCCGGUGUAGUGGUGAAAUGCGUAGAUAUCGGGAGGAACACCAGUGGCGAAGGCGGCUUCCUGGCCUGUUCUUGACGCUGAGGCGCGAAAGCUAGGGUAGCAAACGGG
rnacentral:rRNA from 1 species